UGGGGAAUAUUGCACAAUGGAGGGAACUCUGAUGCAGCAACGCCGCGUGCGGGAUGACGGCCUUCGGGUUGUAAACCGCUUUCAGCCAUGACGAAGCUUUUGUGACGGUAGUGGUAGAAGAAGCAUCGGCUAACUACGUGCCAGCAGCCGCGGUGAUACGUAGGGUGCGAGCGUUGUCCGGAAUUAUUGGGCGUAAAGAGCUUGUAGGCGGUUUGUCGCGUCGAUAGUGUAAACACGCAGCUUAACUUUGUGCCUGCUGUCGAUACGGGCUGACUAGAGGAGGGUAGGGGAGAAUGGAAUUCCCGGUGUAGCGGUGGAAUGCGCAGAUAUCGGGAGGAACACCAGUGGCGAAGGCGGUUCUCUGGACCUUUCCUGACGCUGAGAAGCGAAAGCGUGGGUAGCAAACAGG
rnacentral:rRNA from 1 species